UACGAAGGGGGCUAGCGUUGCUCGGAAUCACUGGGCGUAAAGCGCACGUAGGCGGAUUUCUAAGUCAGGGGUGAAAUCCUGGAGCUCAACUCCAGAACUGCCUUUGAUUACUGGGGAUCGUCGAGUCGGAAGAGGUGAGUGGAACUGCGAGUGUAGAGGUGAAAUUCGUAGAUAUUCGCAGGAACACCAGUGGCGAAGGCGGCUUACUGGUCCAUAACUGACGCUGAGGUGCGAAAGCGUGGGGAGCAAACAGG
rnacentral:rRNA from 1 species